CCAAAGGCCCUUUUCAGGGCCACCUAUCUAGUCUACAGAAAGAGGU
rfam:Canis lupus familiaris chromosome 35, whole genome shotgun sequence.